rnacentral:rRNA from 1 species
AGUGAACGUUGGCGGCGUGGAUUAGGCAUGCAAGUCGAGCGAGAACCGUAGCAAUACGGGGACAGCGACGAAAGGGACAGUAAUGUGUAGGUACCUACCCCGAGGUCUGGGAUAGCUGCGGGAAACUGCAGGUAAUACCGGAUAAUGUCUUCGGACCAAAGGUGUGAUUCCACCUUGGGAGGGGCCUGCAUCCUAUUAGCUAGUUGGCGGGGUAAUGGCCCACCAAGGCAACGAUGGGUAGCGGGUGUGAGAGCACGACCCGCGUCAUUGGGACUGAGAUACUGCCCAGACACCUACGGGUGGCUGCAGUCGAGGAUCUUCGGCAAUGGGCGAAAGCCUGACCGAGCGACGCCGCGUGCGGGAUGAAGGCCUUCGGGUUGUAAACCGCUGUCGUAGAGGAGGAAAUGCAGGGGGGUUCUCCCUUCUGUUUGACCUAUUCUAGGAGGAAGGACGGGCUAAGUUCGUGCCAGCAGCCGCAGUAA